UACGAAGGGGGCUAGCGUUGCUCGGAAUCACUGGGCGUAAAGGGUGCGUAGGCGGGUCUUUAAGUCAGGGGUGAAAUCCUGGAGCUCAACUCCAGAACUGCCUUUGAUACUGAGGAUCUUGAGUUCGGGAGAGGUGAGUGGAACUGCGAGUGUAGAGGUGAAAUUCGUAGAUAUUCGCAAGAACACCAGUGGCGAAGGCGGCUCACUGGCCCGGAACUGACGCUGA
rnacentral:rRNA from 1 species